GAUGAAGAACGCAGCGAAAUGCGAUACGUAAUGUGAAUUGCAGAAUUCAGUGAAUCAUCGAGUCUUUGAACGCACAUUGCGCCCCCUGGUAUUCCGGGGGGCAUGCCUGUCCGAGCGUCAUUGCUGCCCUAAGCACGGCUUGUGUGUUGGGCCUCCGUCCUCCUCCCGGGGGACGGGCCCGAAAGGCAGCGGCGGCACCGCGUCCGGUCCUCGAGCGUAUGGGGCUUCGUCACCCGCUCUUGUAGGCCCGGCCGGCGCUUGCCGACACAUCAAUCUUUUUUCCAGGUUGACCUCGGAUCAGGUAGGGAUACCCGCUGAACUUAAGCAUAUCAAUAAGCGGAGGA
rnacentral:misc_RNA from 1 species